UGGGGAAUUUUGGACAAUGGGCGAAAGCCUGAUCCAGCAAUGCCGCGUGUGUGAAGAAGGCCUUCGGGUUGUAAAGCACUUUUGUCCGGAAAGAAAUCCUCUGGGUUAAUACCUCGGGGGGAUGACGGUACCGGAAGAAUAAGCACCGGCUAACUACGUGCCAGCAGCCGCGGUAAUACGUAGGGUGCAAGCGUUAAUCGGAAUUACUGGGCGUAAAGCGUGCGCAGGCGGUUUUGUAAGACGGAUGUGAAAUCCCCGGGCUUAACCUGGGAACUGCAUUCGUGACUGCAAGGCUAGAGUAUGGCAGAGGGGGGUAGAAUUCCACGUGUAGCAGUGAAAUGCGUAGAGAUGUGGAGGAAUACCGAUGGCGAAGGCAGCCCCCUGGGCCAAAUACUGACGCUCAUGCACGAAAGCGUGGGGAGCAAACAGGAUUAGAUACCCUGGUAGUCCACGCCCUAAACGAUGUCAACUAGUUGUUGGGGAUUCAUUUCCUUAGUAACGUAGCUAACGCGUGAAGUUGACCGCCU
rnacentral:rRNA from 1 species